CCUACGGGAGGCAGCAGUGGGGAAUAUUGCACAAUGGGGGAAACCCUGAUGCAGCGACGCCGCGUGGGUGAAGAAGGAUUUCGGUAUGGAAAGCUCUAUCAGCAGGGAAGAAAUAAAGUCCUUCGGACUUUGGACGGUACCUGACUAAGAAGCCUCGGCUAACUACGUGCCAGCAGCCGCGGUAAUACGUAGGGGUCAAGCGUUAUCCGGAUUUACUGGGUGUAAAGGGAGCGUAGACGGCAGCGCAAGUCUGGAGUGAAAUCCCAUGGCUUAACCAUGGAACUGCUUUGGAAACUGUGCAGCUGGAGUGUAGGAGAGGUAAGCGGAAUUCCUGGUGUAGCGGUGAAAUGCGUAGAUAUUAGGAGGAACACCAGUGGCGAAGGCGGCUUACUGGACUGUAACUGACGUUGAGGCUCGAAAGCGUGGGGAGCAAACAGGAUUAGAUACCCCAGUAGUC
rnacentral:rRNA from 1 species